CCUACGGGAGGCAGCAGUGGGGAAUAUUGCGCAAUGGGCGAAAGCCUGACGCAGCAACGCCGCGUGGGGGAUGACGGCUUUCGGGUUGUAAACCCCUUUCAGUGAUGACGAAAAUGACGGUAAUCACAGAAGAAGCCCCGGCCAACUACGUGCCAGCAGCCGCGGUAACACGUAGGGGGCAAGCGUUGUCCGGAUUUAUUGGGCGUAAAGAGCUCGUAGGCGGUUGAAUAAGAUGUGCGAGAAAGCUCACGGCUUAACUGUGAAAGUUCGUACAUGACUAUUUGACUAGAGAAUGGGAGAGGAAAGCGGAAUUCCCGGUGGAGCGGUGAAAUGCGUAGAUAUCGGGAGGAAGGCCGGUGGCGAAGGCGGCCCUCUAGGCCAUGACUGACGCUGAGGCGCGAAAGCGUGGGGAGCAAACAGGAUUAGAUACCCUGGUAGUCCACGCCCUAAACGGUGGGUACUAGGUGUAGGUGGCGAUAGUCAUCUGUGCCGAAGGGAAACCAUUAAGUACCCCGCCUGGGGAGUACGGCCGCAAGGUUAAAACUCAAAGGAAUUGACGG
rnacentral:rRNA from 1 species